UACGUAGGGUGCGAGCGUUGUCCGGAAUUAUUGGGCGUAAAGAGCUUGUAGGCGGUUUUGUCGCGUCUGCUGUGAAAAUCCGGGGCUCAACCCCGGACUUGCAGUGGGUACGGGCAGACUAGAGUGAUGGUAGGGGAGACUGGAAUUCCUGGUGUAGCGGUGAAAUGCGCAGAUAUCAGGAGGAACACCGAUGGCGAAGGCAGGUCUCUGGGCAUUAACUGACGCUGAGGAGCGAAAGCAUGGGGAGCGAACAGG
rnacentral:rRNA from 1 species